UACGUAGGGGGCUAGCGUUGUCCGGAAUUAUUGGGCGUAAAGAGCGCGUAGGCGGUUCGAUAAGUCUGCUGUGAAAGCCGGGGGCUCAACCCUCGGAUGCGGGUGGAUACUGUCGGGCUUGAGUGCGGAAGAGGCGAGUGGAAUUCCUGGUGUAGCGGUGAAAUGCGCAGAUAUCAGGAGGAACACCGGUGGCGAAGGCGGGUCUCUGGGCCGAUACUGACGCUGAGGAGCGAAAGCGUGGGGAGCGAACAGG
rnacentral:rRNA from 1 species